rnacentral:rRNA from 1 species
CACGUAGUUAGCCGGGGCUUCUUGGUCAGGUACUGUCAUUUUCUUCCCUGCUGAUAGAACUUUACAUACCGAAAUAUUUCUUCGUUCACGCGGCGUCGCUGCAUCAGGGUUCCCCCCCAUUGUGCAAUAUCCCCCACUGCUGCCUCCCGCAGGAGUCUGGGCCGUGUCUCAGUCCCAAUGUGGCCGGCCGCCCUCUCAGGCCGGCUACUGAUCGCAGCCUUGGUGGGCCGUUACCCCGCCAACAAGCUAAUCAGACGCGGGCCCAUCCCGUACUGCCGGAGCUUUCCCCGCAGGGCCAUGCGGCCCCGCGGGAAUAUGCGGUAUUAGCAGCCGUUUCCGGCUGUUGUCCCCCGGUACGGGGCAGGUUGCCCACGCGUUGCUCACCCGUCCGCCACUCAGUCCCCCGCGGCCUUUCCCCCGGAGGGGUCCGCCGCAGGCGCUUCGUUCGACUUGCAUGUGUUAGGCACGCCGCCAGCGUUCAUCCUGAGCCAGGAUCAAACUCU